rnacentral:sRNA from 1 species
CAGUGGUUGUUUUUUGUAUCCCCAUAUAUCCUGUUUGUUCGAGAAAUGAAACAGGGUAUAAUGA